GGGUUGUGAGGUUAAGCGACUAAGCGUACACGGUGGAUGCCCUGGCAGUCAGAGGCGAUGAAGGACGUGCUAAUCUGCGAAAAGCGUCGGUAAGGUGAUAUGAACCGUUACAGCCGGCGAUGUCCGAAUGGGGAAACCCAGUGCAAUUCGUUGCACUAUCGUUAACUGAAUACAUAGGUUAACGAGGCGAACCGGGGGAACUGAAACAUCUAAGUACCCCGAGGAAAAGAAAUCAACCGAGAUUCCCCAGUAGCGGCGAGCGAACGGGGAGCAGCCCAGAGUCUGAAUCAGCUUGUGUGUUAGUGGAACGGUCUGGAAAGUCCGACGGUACAGGGUGAUAGUCCCGUACACCAAAAUGCACAGGCUGUGAACUCGAAGAGUAGGGCGGGACACGUGGUAUCCUGUCUGAAUAUGGGGGGACCAUCCUCCAAGGCUAAAUACUCCUGACUGACCGAUAGUGAACCAGUACCGUGAGGGAAAGGCGAAAAGAACCCCGGCGAGGGGAGUGAAAAAGAACCUGAAACCGUGUACGUACAAGCAGUGGGAGCACCUUCGGGUGUGACUGCGUACCUUUUGUAUAAUGGGUCAGCGACUUAUAUUCUGUAGCAAGGUUAACCGUAUAGGGGAGCCGCAGGGAAACCGAGUCUUAACUGGGCGUUAAGUUGCAGGGUAUAGACCCGAAACCCGGUGAUCUAGCCAUGGGCAGGUUGAAGGUUGGGUAACACUAACUGGAGGACCGAACCGACUAAUGUUGAAAAAUUAGCGGAUGACUUGUGGCUGGGGGUGAAAGGCCAAUCAAACCGGGAGAUAGCUGGUUCUCCCCGAAAGCUAUUUAGGUAGCGCCUCGUGAACUCAUCUUCGGGGGUAGAGCACUGUUUCGGCUAGGGGGUCAUCCCGACUUACCAACCCGAUGCAAACUACGAAUACCGAAGAAUGUUAUCACGGGAGACACACGGCGGGUGCUAACGUCCGUCGUGAAGAGGGAAACAACCCAGACCGCCAGCUAAGGUCCUAAAGUCAUGGUUAAGUGGGAAACGAUGUGGGAAGGCACAGACAGCCAGGAUGUUGGCUUAGAAGCAGCCAUCAUUUAAAGAAAGCGUAAUAGCUCACUGGUCGAGUCGGCCUGCGCGGAAGAUGUAACGGGGCUAAACCAUGCACCGAAGCUGCGGCAGCGACACUAUGUGUUGUUGGGUAGGGGAGCGUUCUGUAAGCCUGCGAAGGUGUGCUGUGAGGCAUGCUGGAGGUAUCAGAAGUGCGAAUGCUGACAUAAGUAACGAUAAAGCGGGUGAAAAGCCCGCUCGCCGGAAGACCAAGGGUUCCUGUCCAACGUUAAUCGGGGCAGGGUGAGUCGACCCCUAAGGCGAGGCCGAAAGGCGUAGUCGAUGGGAAACAGGUUAAUAUUCCUGUACUUGGUGUUACUGCGAAGGGGGGACGGAGAAGGCUAUGUUAGCCGGGCGACGGUUGUCCCGGUUUAAGCAUGUAGGCUGAUUGUCCAGGCAAAUCCGGAUAAUCAAGGCUGAGGUGUGAUGACGAGGCACUACGGUGCUGAAGUAACAAAUGCCCUGCUUCCAGGAAAAGCCUCUAAGCAUCAGGUAACAUCAAAUCGUACCCCAAACCGACACAGGUGGUCAGGUAGAGAAUACCAAGGCGCUUGAGAGAACUCGGGUGAAGGAACUAGGCAAAAUGGUGCCGUAACUUCGGGAGAAGGCACGCUGGUGUGUAGGUGAAGCCCCUGCGGGUGGAGCUGAGACCAGUCGAAGAUACCAGCUGGCUGCAACUGUUUAUUAAAAACACAGCACUGUGCAAACACGAAAGUGGACGUAUACGGUGUGACGCCUGCCCGGUGCCGGAAGGUUAAUUGAUGGGGUUAUCCGUAAGGAGAAGCUCUUGAUCGAAGCCCCGGUAAACGGCGGCCGUAACUAUAACGGUCCUAAGGUAGCGAAAUUCCUUGUCGGGUAAGUUCCGACCUGCACGAAUGGCGUAAUGAUGGCCAGGCUGUCUCCACCCGAGACUCAGUGAAAUUGAACUCGCUGUGAAGAUGCAGUGUACCCGCGGCAAGACGGAAAGACCCCGUGAACCUUUACUAUAGCUUGACACUGAACAUUGAGCCUUGAUGUGUAGGAUAGGUGGGAGGCUUUGAAGCGUGGACGCCAGUCUGCGUGGAGCCAACCUUGAAAUACCACCCUUUAAUGUUUGAUGUUCUAACGUUGGCCCCUGACCGGGGUUGCGGACAGUGUCUGGUGGGUAGUUUGACUGGGGCGGUCUCCUCCCAAAGCGUAACGGAGGAGCACGAAGGUUAGCUAAUCCUGGUCGGACAUCAGGAGGUUAGUGCAAUGGCAUAAGCUAGCUUGACUGCGAGCGUGACGGCGCGAGCAGGUGCGAAAGCAGGUCAUAGUGAUCCGGUGGUUCUGAAUGGAAGGGCCAUCGCUCAACGGAUAAAAGGUACUCCGGGGAUAACAGGCUGAUACCGCCCAAGAGUUCAUAUCGACGGCGGUGUUUGGCACCUCGAUGUCGGCUCAUCACAUCCUGGGGCUGAAGUAGGUCCCAAGGGUAUGGCUGUUCGCCAUUUAAAGUGGUACGCGAGCUGGGUUUAGAACGUCGUGAGACAGUUCGGUCCCUAUCUGCCGUGGGCGCUGGAGAAUUGAGGGGGGCUGCUCCUAGUACGAGAGGACCGGAGUGGACGCAUCACUGGUGUUCGGGUUGUCAUGCCAAUGGCACUGCCCGGUAGCUAAAUGCGGAAGAGAUAAGUGCUGAAAGCAUCUAAGCACGAAACUUGCCCCGAGAUGAGUUCUCCCUGAGACUUUAAGUCUCCUGAAGGAACGUUGAAGACGACGACGUUGAUAGGCCGGGUGUGUAAGCGCAGCGAUGCGUUGAGCUAACCGGUACUAAUGAACCGUGAGGCUUAACCUUACAACGCCGAAG
rnacentral:rRNA from 1 species